ACAGUCCGGGCCGGGCUCCACCGCGCGUCCGGUUCCACGCUGGCGACCGCCCCCGGGGCCCCCGCCGCGGGCGCGGCGCCCGCCAUGGGCGAGGAGGAUUACUACCUGGAGCUGUGCGAGCGGCCAGUGCAGUUCGAGAAGGCGAACCCUGUCAACUGCGUCUUCUUCGAUGAGGCCAACAAGCAGGUUUUUGCUGUUCGAUCUGGUGGAGCUACUGGUGUGGUAGUUAAAGGCCCAGAUGAUAGGAAUCCCAUCUCAUUUAGAAUGGAUGACAAAGGAGAAGUGAAGUGCAUUAAGUUUUCCUUAGAAAAUAAGAUAUUGGCUGUUCAGAGGACCUCAAAGACUGUGGAUUUUUGUAAUUUUAUCCCUGAUAAUUCCCAGUUGGAAUACACACAGGAGUGCAAGACUAAGAAUGCCAACAUUCUAGGAUUCUGCUGGACUAGUUCUACUGAAAUUGUCUUCAUAACAGAUCAAGGAAUCGAAUUUUACCAGGCUGGUGGAGUGCAAUGGCGCGAUCUCGGCUCACCGCAACCUCUGCCUCCCAGGUUCAAGCGAUUCUCCUGUC
rnacentral:sRNA from 1 species